AGUACUACUCUCAUCCAGUCAAGGAAAGGCACAGGUAGAAGGCCAGUGCUGCCUGUUGGGUAACCAUGUUGGAACCACUGAUCUCAAAUAGCACAUUUAGAAUUGGGACCAAGUCAAGUCCACUCACUUGUCGGGUGAUUUUGAACUAAUCACUAUUCCUCUAUGAGCCUCAGUUUACUCUUCUAUGACAUGAAGAGGUUGGGCCUAAUGAUCUCAGGGACCCUUUCAAGCUCUGACACUCUACAAUGGUAAAUCUUGGAGUGCGGCAUGGGAACGUAACCAGCAAUUUACUGGCAGCAACAGCUAGGGGCACGUGCAAACCACCAGGCAUAGCCCAGGUCUGACAGCACCUGCAGAAGCAAACCGGUUUUUAAAAAUCCCUUUUCUGAGCCCUAGAGAAGCAGUGAAAAGUUAAUAAAACAUUAACUGACA
rnacentral:lncRNA from 10 species